rnacentral:lncRNA from 1 species
AAAUAUGGAGAAUAAUUUAUAACUCACUGUAAAAGUGGGAAGUAAACUGAAACUACAAAAAGUUCUGGUUGGCGAAAAAAGCUCUCGCUUGAAGAAAUCGCCUUUGUUUCAAAACCCUAGACCGGCCGCCGCCGCUUCUCGCGGUCGCCGGUUCUCGUCCUUGAAAACGUGUCUCUCCCCUCUCCCCUCUCUUCUCUCGGAUAUCUCCUUCUCCUCGAGUAGAUUUGUUCCUUUACCGUGUGUGUUGCAGAUCGCGUUGAAGAACUUUUUGUUAUCUCAGAUCCAGUGGUCCUGUUGUAGAUCUGAGCGCGUGGAGUGGUGUUUGUUGGUCGUGGAUAUGGGUGUUGCAGAUCGCGUUGAAGAACUUUUUGUUAUCUCAGAUCCAGUGGUCCUGUUGUAGAUCUGAGCGCGUGGAGUGGUGUUUGUUGGUCGUGGAUAUGGGUUAUGCCCUUCUCCGGCUCUGUCUGCGUUUCCAGGUGAAGGUCCAAGACUCAGUUUUCCUUGUGUGAUGCAGCGGCUGUGUUUACAGCCUGUUUCGGUUUGGUAACCCGUUGAUAGGGGUUGAAUCCGGUUAACUCUCAUGGAUGUUAGAGUUGGUUUUAAUUGGUUGUUGAUUUAGCAACGGUGUAGCAGUGCAGCAGUGAUGUGGUGGUGUGUGGUGAGCAGUUGAUGGUUAGGGUAUUGAGAAGAAGAUGGUUUAUGAUUACCUCUUCAUCUCUCAAUUCGAAGGUCUCCUUUUCUUGCUUCUUGAAUACGAUUUUCUCAUGUUCUGCCUUUGGUCUCUUCUUUUCCUCGGUGGCUUCCUCUGGUGAAGCAAUAUAAUGAGCGUGAGGCAUGCAGGCGUCAGAUGAAGAUGCAAUUGAUCUUGGGGGUCUCUCGGGUGUGGUUUCUUUCCAGUUCUAGGUUCUGGUUUUGCCUUGUUCCAGGCGUGGGGUUUGGGUGUCAUCGUGAACAGGUGGUUCAGAUGAAAUCUCAGUGGUUAUUAUCUUGAACAGGUGGUUCAGAUAAGGUUUGUGCUCUCCAUGAAGAAGUCUGCUACGGUUCUUGCUCUCUUGUUCAGUCACGGCUUGUCUUUGACUAUUAAGUCUAUGUUCUUUCUUCUAUAGAUGUGUUUCUGGCUUUUUGAAGGAGUUUAUGGGUUUGGUUUAUGUUCCAAGUGAUGGUAUAAAACCCGUGUGUUUGGGUGUAAGUUUCCCUGUUAUGGGCUUAGUUGCUGGAGAUUUUCAUGUUUUCUGCCAGCUUUAGUAUUUCAACUUUGUGUUCUCUCGAAUGGUAUCAAUGAAACUCUUGUGACAA